rnacentral:rRNA from 1 species
GGCAGCGCAGCUAUACAUGCAAGUCGAGGGGCAUCAAAGAAAGCUUGCUUUCUGUUGGCGACCGGCGCACGGGUGCGUAACGCGUAUGCAACCUACCUACUACAGAGGGAUAGCCCGGAGAAAUUCGGAUUAAUACCUCAUAGUACUAUUAGAGGGCAUCUGAAGAUAGUUAAAGAACUUCGGUAGUAGAUGGGCAUGCGUCUGAUUAGUUAGUUGGUGAGGUAACGGCUCACCAAGACGACGAUCAGUAGGGGGUCUGAGAGGAUGAUCCCCCACACUGGUACUGAGACACGGACCAGACUCCUACGGGAGGCAGCAGUAGGGAAUAUUGGUCAAUGGGGGCAACCCUGAACCAGCCAUGCCGCGUGCAGGAAGAAGGCCUUCUGGGUUGUAAACUGCUUUUAUACGGGAAGAUUAAGGGGAUGCGUCCCUGUGUGACUGUACCGUAAGAAUAAGCACCGGCUAACUCCGUGCCAGCAGCCGCGGUAAUACGGAGGGUGCAAGCGUUGUCCGGAAUUAUUGGGUUUAAAGGGUGCGUAGGCGGCGUAUUAAGUCUGAGUUGAAAUCCUGCAGCUUAACUGUAGAACUGGCUUGGAUACUGGUAUGCUUGAGUACACUGAAGGUAGGCGGAAUUUAUGAUGUAGCGGUGAAAUGCAUAGAUAUCAUAAAGAACACCGAUUGCGAAGGCAGCUUACUGUAGUGUAACUGACGCUGAGGCACGAAGGCGUGGGUAGCGAACAGGAUUAGAUACCCUGGUAGU